rnacentral:lncRNA from 10 species
UGUAGGGCACAAUGGGAGCUUUCUCAAGGGUUUUUGAUAAUAUGGGCAACUGUGCUGUUAAUUUCACUUGUGGCUUUAUGCUAACUAACUUUAUCGGCUUUGUCAUUUGGGAAAAGUUGCUUUUAAUGGAGAGUGAAUUUUUCUGCUAUGACUGCAUUAACAUGUCCCUACUGUCCACCAGGCAUGAACCUCAUCUAAGGCUGUGUUUAACAAAGGUCGUCGGGGGAGUGACUAUGCCCCAGAGUCCACCAUGAGAGUGCUGAAGAGCCAAAGGUGAUGGACCCCUCUGAUGCUUCCCUGCCAUCAACUGACUUUGCAAAUUGAAGUACCCUGGCUCCCUUGUCGUCUGGCUGCUGGUUGGAUUCUGCAAGGAGAAUGACAGAGUUCUGAUUAUAACAAAGGUAA